UUCGGGGCAUCAAUCUAGAGGAAGGAGAUUCUCAUCGCCAAUUCGCAUGGUUCCCGCUGAGUGACUGCCUUCCUCAGGGGUCAUGGUGGGUGUUCCUGUUGGAGGUGAAGAAGCUCAAGUCCGGCGAUGGGGAGGAGCAUUUUGAGCUUCAGAUAAAGAGUGGUACGUGCCGUUUCAAGUACUUCACCAUAUUCGACCGCUUUCCUAGCCCGCUGCGUCUUCAUAUUGUGGCUCACGGCCCCUCGAGUUGGAAGUUUAGCCAACUCUUGCUUUGCGUCGUUGGCAAGGUACCAGAAGGACUUGCACGGGGGUACUUUCCAAACUACCACUGCAAGGAGUUUCCAAACACGAAGAAUUCUACUGCCACCACCACCACCACUACCACCACUACCCUUAAGCCAGCAGCCACACACUCCGCCACAGCCCCUCCCGAUGCAACGCAGGACACAGCAACUUGGCUAUCUACGGAGGUUGUGAUAAUCAUGGUGUUGGUGGCGGAAGUGAUGGUGAUGACAGCAUUGGUGGUGCUGCUGGUGAAGCGUUUCCGGCAACGAAGGAACACUGUGGAAGGACCCGCUGAGCCCAUUUACCACAACACAGUGGACCCACCGCGACCCAUCGUCCCACCACGUCAGCGAGCGGACGCCUCCCAGGGCAUGAGGACCGAGGCUGAGGACGAGGACAACGUAUAUCAAGAGAUUGUGGACUUCGCGCCGCGCUGGGCCGUCGUGGCGGGACCUACAAGAGCAAGGAUGAGACAAAACGCAGGACAAAAUGAUGGCUACUUGAGGAUGAGCGGGUCUCUGUACGACGAGGCCGGCUCCCCAUAAGAACUCAAAAGGAAAGAGAUUUUAGACUUCGCGCCGCGCUGGGCCGUCGUGGCGGGACCUACAAGAGCGGGAAUGAGACAAAACGGUGACUGCUUGAGCAUGAACGGGCUGUAAUGAACGUAAUGUAGUGAAUGAUGAUGGUGGGCAAGGCCUUGAUGAUGCAUUACCUAACCCCGAGGUCCGUUCCCUAAGACCUGCAAGAUUGUAGUUUCCGCGCCGCGCUGGGCCGUCGUGGCAAGACCUACGGAAGAGGGAUACGGCAAGAGGACGCCUAUUUGUGCAUGAUCGGACCUUAUGAAAACACAGAAAUGGAGACAGUAAAGACAAUACUAUAUAAAUUUGGGCAAAAAAGAGAAAAUAAAAGAAAUGAAGAGGAGACGUAAAGAAAUUUAGAAACUCAAAAGACCCAGACCGAGAAAGACCACAGACCCCGAAAAAGGUACAUCAGGGAGUGCCGUUACAAAGGCAAGACUCCUGAGGCCGGAUUCAUCAAACCACUUACGAGACCCUGUUGUUGGUAAGUCUUCUGGUAACUCCAUCAUCUAGGAACGCGCUUGAUCUUAAGGUGACUCCAAUGGCAAUGAAAGAAGUGUCGACCAGGCCAGACAACUCAACUCAACCUUUGCACAACGAUUCGAUGUAUGAUGGCGCGUACUUAACCACGAGGCCCGCUCCCUACGAACACAAGGGGGUGGGGGGGGUAUUGAAGGUGAAGACAUGAUGACCUUUACUGAACGUUUCCUUCGUCGCUUGGUCGCCACAGCUGCUUACCUGUACAUCCUGUGUUUAUGAUGUUGAUGAUAAUGACCAGAAGGGAAAUGAUGAUGAUGAUGAUGAGGGCAAUGAUGAUGAUAGAAAUGAAGGUGAUGAUGAUGAUUAUGAUAAUGAUUAGAUGGAAAAUGAUGAUGAGGAUGAUGAUGAGGGCAAUGAUGAUGAUAGAAAUGAAGGUGAUGAUGAUGAUGAUGAUAAGGAUUAGAUGGAAAAUGAUGAUGAUGAGGAGGAGGCGAGGGAAGAGGAGAUGGAGCUUGGGUGAGAAGGAUUUUAGAUUAUGUUUUAGUUUUAGUUUUGUAUCGCCAUUUUAUUAAACACACACACACACACACACACACACACACACACACACACACACACACACACACACACACACCUGCAAAUACAUAUACACACAAACAGAUUUACAUUUUCUUACAGUGUAUAUAUACCCACACACAUAAAUGACUUGGACAUGUCUGAACUAAUUUUUUCACACCCUUAUACCAACACAUGCACAUAUACAAGCCUUCCACGAAUAUGCAUGUGUAUACUGCAUAGGCCUACAUUGAUUAUUGUAAGGAAAACAUUAUUAUUUUAGUUAUUCUUAGGUGAUUAUAGAUUUAUUUUUGUUUUGAGUGUCUGUCAAGGAGUUCCACGUGUUGAAUUAUUUCAUUAUCUAAAACUACUGCAGGAAAUUCACAACGAUUAUAAGGAAUUGUAAAGAAUAUUAGGUUUGUCUUUUGUAUGUUUAGUUUUAAUUCAGUACUCAGCGUUUUAAAUCAUGCUGUAAAAUGUAGUGAAGUGAAUAUAAACUUUUAUCCGCAUAGCUGAGACUGGUUUCAUAAAAAGAGAAUAGCAUAAAAAUAAAACAGGUCAUGUAUGUACUAUAUGAAGCGCUGAGUGCGAUAAGGAGCCAAGCGCCAAAAGUAAACAAACGAGAAAACUGCAUGUAAAGGUGAUGACUGCGUGCGUCGGUCGUUCACCAUUGCUUUACUUUACCUGUCUCGUGUGUCCUAAACAGGGUCCGGAUUCAUCAAACCACUUACGAGACCUAUUGAUGGUAAGUCUUCUGGUAACUCCAUCAUCCAGGAACGCUCUUGAUCUUAAAGCGACUCCAAUGACAAUGAAGGAAGUGUCGACCUGCAGCAUGUACUUCAUUCACUGUCAUCUGAGCAGCCUAAACACAAGGAUCAUUCGUAGAGGACAGAUUUACUUAAAGAAUUACCAACGACCGGUCUUGUAGUGGCUUCAUGAAUCCGGCCCCAGUACUGUAUAUGCAAUUAUGUGUUAUACUUCGUUAGAGACUACAUUUUCUUGGCUUUUACUCGAUAUGCAUUGAUUUCGUUAUGUUGAAUAACAAAAGAGUUAUAAAGUGAUGUAUAAUGCAGUGUGUUAAGCAGAAACAAUUUUCGGAUUUUAAAGUUUUACAUGGCCCAGUAAAUACUACCUUAGAAAAAACAAUCAAUUGAUAAACAACAUCUCUUAAUUAAAGCGAUAGUAGGUAUGUAUAUAUAAAGAAAAAUGAGCUUAUAUAUUUCCUAAUAGGUUUGCGUGU